UGGGUUUUCUCUGAGUUCCGAUCCGUGUGUCUGUUUACCGCUGUUACUAGGAUACAACUUCAGCAUACAUUUUGACGUAAACAGGACAUUGCAGCAUCACUAAAAAGAAGUCGAUCAAACCAUGACCCAAGUCAAACUAUGACCCAAACUGGCCAUCACGGUUCACAGUCCCACUUCCUGUUUACACUUUGACAGUACGGUGGUUGGAUGACGAACUGGACGAUGGACGAAAGGCCUUAAAUAAUGUCAGCAGCCACGCCCACCUCCUCCAUGUCUUAGCGGCCCUCUCCGGACCCGUACAGCCUCACACACACACACACACACACACACACACACACUCUUACACAUCCUACUCUGAGAUCAAAGUCCUCUAUCUGAUCAUGCUGAUCUGUGAGCAGUAGAUGUGAACACAGCAGGGAUCAGCUGUCUAUUAACAUACCACAGAUAAGUGGUAUGUUUAAUCUGUGAAUAUGUUUGUUAUCUUGUGGAGCUCCAUCAGCAGAGAAGACAAACAAACCGUUAUAGACAUAUAAUCUGUUGUUUAUUCGUUGCUUCUUCAAAUGUGUCUGCUUUUUGUCACUUGCAUCUUUUUAGUUCUACAUUUUUUGUUUCAUUUUUGCAUCUAUUUAUUUGAUUGUUUUGUCGGGAUUCUCUGCUUCCACUUCAAAAUAAACCAAAGAUCUGAAUUGAAAGUAAAGUCAUCUGAACAUCUACAAAAAAAAGUAACUUCACUUCUAAACUCCACUGAAGGAAAUACAACAACUAUAGUAAAUUAAAUAA